CUGAUCCCAUUCCGAACUCAGAAGUGAAACGAAAUAGCGCCGAUGGUAGUGUGGGGUUUCCCCAUGUGAGAGUAGGACAUCGCCAGGC
rnacentral:rRNA from 1 species